GUCUGAUAUGGGCUGUGUUAAUCUCUGGUGUGCUAUCUUGGACUUCAGAAGAGUUACAAGCAAUGGAAUAUUGCCCACUGAGCCUUUGCUGACUGUUCUCACAUUGCCACGAAGGAUAAAGGAUCACAGUUUGUCUUUUGUGUGAGAGGGCCUGAACUCCCAACAUCUCCAAGAGUGCAGGCAACUGGUUUGCUUGAUGUGUCCAGAGAAAGAGAGAGAGAAGAAAAAGUCUCCCUGUCUCAUGCUGUUUGCAGGAGAGCUGAAAAGCUGUUUUCUCCUUUCUUCCUCUCCUCCUAUGUUGUGAUCUGUCAAGACCAGGAACUGGUUUGUUGUUUGCUCUUCACAUAUCUAAAUUAGAAACAGAAACAUCCUUCCUUCCUUCCUUCCUUCCUUCCUUCCUUCCUUCCUUCCUUCCUUCCUUCCUUCCUUCCUUCCUUCCUUCCUUCCUUCCUUCCU